UAGGGAAUCUUCGGCAAUGGACGAAAGUCUGACCGAGCAACGCCGCGUGAGUGAAGAAGGUUUUCGGAUCGUAAAACUCUGUUGUUAGAGAAGAACAAGGACGUUAGUAACUGAACGUCCCCUGACGGUAUCUAACCAGAAAGCCACGGCUAACUACGUGCCAGCAGCCGCGGUAAUACGUAGGUGGCAAGCGUUGUCCGGAUUUAUUGGGCGUAAAGCGAGCGCAGGCGGUUUCUUAAGUCUGAUGUGAAAGCCCCCGGCUCAACCGGGGAGGGUCAGUGGAAACUGGGAGACUUGGGUGCAGAAGAGGAGAGUGGAAUUCCAUGUGUAGCGGUGAAAUGCGUAGAUAUAUGGAGGAACACCAGUGGCGAAGGCGGCUCUCUGGUCUGUAACUGACACUGAGGCUCGAAAGCGUGGGGAGCAAACAGG
rnacentral:rRNA from 1 species